rnacentral:piRNA from 1 species
UUGGACAACACGAGUUAAGCUCAGGUCA